CCCCUCUCAGAAUCGCACCUGGAGAGUUUUCUGUAAUCUACCAGUCUCGACUAAGGGAGGGAGAGUCAAGCAGAGGUCUACCCAUUCCAUUCCUACCUUGACCAGUGGCUAGAGAAUGGAAGGCAAUCUUCUACAAGU